rnacentral:rRNA from 1 species
UACAGGGGGGUGCAAACGUUGCUCGGAAUCAUUGGGCGUAAAGCGCACGUAGGCGGUUCGUUAAGUCGGAUGUGAAAGCCCUCGGCUCAACUGAGGAAGUGCACCCGAAACUGGCGAGCUUGAGUACGAAAAGAGGAUCGCGGAAUUCCCGGUGUAGAGGUGAAAUUCGUAGAUAUCGGGAGGAACACCGGUGGCGAAGGCGGCGAUCUGGGUCGAUACUGACGCUGAGGUGCGAAAGCGUGGGGAGCAAACAGG